CUAGCUGGUGACUACCAGUGGUGGGAUGGACUCAGGCCUACCCUGGGCCCGAGUUCCCAGCAGGUCAGUGAGGUGGAUCUCCAGCUAAUGAUUUUUCUACACAUAAUAUUCGACAGCCACAGACCCCAUGAAGUAAUAAUAUGAAAUGUUAUUUACUGGUCACUUACUAUGUGCAUGAUUAUUAUUGCAGAUCCCUGCCUUCCUCACAGUCUCCUCCAGGCCUCAAACCCAACCAGCAUUCCCUUGCCACCACUGGUUCUUACAGUAAAUAUGAUCACUGUCCUCAAUUCACAUGAUUAAACAAAGGCAUGAAGAGAUUCAGUGACUUGUCCAUGCGACACACAAUGGAGUUGACCUUGGAGCUGCCCAGCUUGUUUACUGCCAGCCCCACUAACUACUGUGACCACGGUCAAUUCUUCCACGCAAGUCAAACUGGUAGCACACAGUUGUUCAAGUUUUUGAGCCAACUAUAUGUCGGCACAUCUCAAUCAGAGUGUCCCAGACCACACCAAGCACUAACAAGGAGGGUCAAUCACCUUCAGAAUGUUGAUCCACACCAGUUGGGACACAGAGACGUCCCUGGAGUCAGCUCUAGUUCAUUGUCCCCAGGAACUCCUCUCCAUUCCGGAUGGUGGGAAAGCAUCUCUGUGACUGCAGGGAUCCUUUUGAAAGUCCCGCAAGAGACCAAGAAGCUCUGAAGGCUUAUAAAGCAAACAGACAGGAGGAGAAACAGGAAGGAAGGUGCCUAAACCAGAGGAGAAAGGUGAUUCACAAGGCCACCAGCGAAGGGCCCCAGGAACGAAGCUGGCUUUUAAUUUUUGUUGUUCUGUUUUACCAGAUGAUUCUUUUGAGUCAGUGCUUGGCUAUAAAUAUAGGUUAAUUUCCAAUUCCUCCCCCAAGCACUGGACAGAUUUUGCCCACAUCUUUUGUGUGUUGGAGAGGAAGGACAUUCACCGUGCAUGGACUGUGUGAAAUUGUCAGCCGGGGGUGUUGGACUCGUCUACUUAGAUCAUCUUGCAGAAUCCACUGAGGUCAGGCGCAUUUUCCCAAAGCCUCCCCUUGCCCUCUGAUCUCCUGCUGAGGACACCCAGCAAACUAGAAGUCAGAGGGGCACAGACAAUACGAGUUUACAGGGCAGCCUCCCUGGGCACCGAGGGGUGUCAGGGUAGGAGAGCAUCUGGAGGGGCAGAUGGAGAUGCCCACAGUGUCCGGGCUGGUCUUUGAGGGUGUGAUCUAGGGGACCUGAGGACCUUAACCUGGUUUGAACUUGGCUGAUGGAACCUGCAGAAGGAGACUAGGGAUUGUUAACUAGCCCAGGUCCACUCGUCCUUAGGAUCUUGAUCUCCAAGGCUGGAAAUCUACACUUGCUGGUGGGAGGCCCACUGACAGGAGCCAGGAGACCUGGGGCCCAGGGCAUAUCUGCUAUGUGGAGCGUGUCUGUGGGCAGGUCCCCUUUCUGGGCCUGGCUCCUCAUUCAUGAAGUCAGUGGGUUGACCUGUUCUAGUAACUUUGGUCCCCCCAGUGCACCCGCCUGCCUGACCAACCUCUAGCGCUG
rnacentral:lncRNA from 1 species